CUUUACUGUAACUUUGCAUUGGACUUUGACGGGACUUGUGUAGGAUAGGUGGGAGGCAUUGAGACCGGGACGCUAGUUCCGGUGGAGCCAACCUUGAAAUACCACCCUGGUGUCGUUGAGGUUCUAACCCAGGUCUGUGAAUCCAGAUCGGGGACCGUGCAUGGUGGGCAGUUUGACUGGGGCGGUCUCCUCCCAAAAGGUAACGGAGGAGUACGAAGGUCUUCUAGGUACGGUCGGACAUCGUACUGAUAGUGCAAUGGCAAAAGAAGGCUUGACUGCGAGACCGACAAGUCGAGCAGGUGCGAAAGCAGGUCAUAGUGAUCCGGUGGUUCUGUAUGGAAGGGCCAUCGCUCAACGGAUAAAAGGUA
rnacentral:rRNA from 1 species